UACGAAGGGGGCUAGCGUUGUUCGGAAUCACUGGGCGUAAAGCGCACGUAGGCGGAUCUUUAAGUCAGAGGUGAAAUCCCAAGGCUCAACCUUGGAACUGCCUUUGAUACUGGGGAUCCUGAGUCCGGGAGAGGUGAGUGGAAUGCCGAGUGUAGAGGUGAAAAUUCGUAGAUAUUCGGCGGAACACCAGUGGCGAAGGCGACUCACUGGCCCGAUACUGACGCUGAGGCGCGAAAGCGUGGGGAGCAAACGGG
rnacentral:rRNA from 1 species